CUGGAUUUGAAUGGUACUGCUUCUGGCCCAAGUUGUCUGGGCAACCUUAGACAUGGGUGUCCAUCGCGCUUCCUUCACUGCCUUGAUCAUGUCGGGGUCACCACCUGCGGGGGUUUGUCCUGCAGACCCUGACUCAACGACGGAUGAAUAAUGUACACUGACACAGAUCUUAUGCUUGUCAGUCCUGCUGAGCAUCCAGGCCACUUACAGACUCCAAGAAGAGUCCUGUCAGCCACGGCUCUGACUUGUUGGCCCUCCCGGCAUUUAUUUAGCACACAUUUAAUGACAGAAGUCUCAGGCUGGAAACACUCUUUUUGUAGAACAUACAAAUGGACAUUUCUAAGCACAUUGAGGCCUAUAAUGAAAAAUCAAAUAUCCCACAAUGAAAACUAGAAGGAAGCUAUCUGUGAUAAUGCUUUGUGGUGUAUGGAUUCAUCUCACUGACUGAAACCUGAGUUUUGAUUCACCAGGUUGGAAACACUUUUACUGUAUUAUCUAUGAAGAAACGUUUUUGAGGCCAUUAAGUCCUACACUGAAAAACUGAAUAUACUGCAUUAAACAUUCUAAAGAAGCUAACUGUGAAAAUGCUUUGCAAUGUGUGUAUUUAUCUCACAGAGUUAAACCAUUGUUUUGAUUCAUCAGUUUGGAAACAGUUUCUUUGUAGAAUCUAUGAAGGGACCUUUCAGAGGCCAUUGAGGCCUAUAAUAAAGAAACAAAUAUCCCACAAUAAAACAAGAAACAUAUAGAAACAAGCUGUAUGUGAAAAUGCUUUGUGAUAUCUGGAUUCUUCUCACUGAAUCAAACCUGGGUUUUGAGUCACCAGGUUGGAAACACUUUUUUUGUAAAAUCUAGGAAGGGAAAUUUCUGAGCCCAUUGAGGCACAUAGUGAAAAACCGAGGAUCCUGUGAUAAAAACUAGAAAAACGCAAUAUGUGAAGUUGCUUUGUGAUGUGUGGAUUCGUCUCCCCGAAUGGAAUCUCUGUUUUGAUUCACCAGGUUGGAAACAAUGUUUUUGUAGAAUGUACAAUGAGACAUUUCUGAGUCCAUUUAGGCCUAUACUGAGAAACCCAAUAUCCUGCUAUAAGAAGUAGAAAAAUGCUAUCUGUAAAAAUGCUUUGUGAUGCAUGGAUUCAUCUCACAGAGUUAAAGCUUUGUUUGGAUUCAACAGG
rnacentral:lncRNA from 10 species